GGACUUGUAGCUCAGUGGCCAGAGCGAGGGAUUGCAGUUCAGCAAUUAUCCCCAGGUCACCAGUUCGAAUCUGGUUAAGUCCU